GCCAUGAUGGAUUGUUGACGAAGUAAGCUGCACGUUGGAACAGCAGAGAAAAGCUGCUUGUCAAAGGGUGUAUAAGGAUAUAUGGCAGCUGGCAUCAAGAAAUAAUGACACAAAGACAUGAAGAAAAGUGUGAAGAAUCGAUGUAUUAUAAUAUUCUGUAAAUACUGU